CGAAUCUGGGAUUCUUAAUGCCUGUGCCCCAUCUGGCCUGGAACAAGAGAGGAGUGUGCUUCUUUGAUGAAACUAAUCUAACUCCUGAGAAAACUUGAGACCUAAUUAUCCUUAGGUUUUAAUGAGCAAUCUCUUAGUCUUUUCACACCCAGAACUCUGUUACUUUUACUUACCCAUCUUUUUAGUCUGAGUGCUAAUACUGGGCUAGGUGGUGGGGAUCAAGGGGAGAGCAAACAGGCCUGGUCUUGUCCUCAUGGGCUUGCACUUCAGUGGAGGGGGCGAACAAGUACAGGUCAAAUGACAUAGAAAGAUGAUUGCUACAGAGAAAGUCUCUUGGUAAACUGAGAACUUAUAUAAUAGGGAAGGGUUGAGCUAAUCAGGGAAGGCUUCCUUGAAGAAGUGAUUUUUGGAGUGAUCAUUCUUGUUGCCAUAAUGAGGAUGUAUCAGAGAAAACAUCACAGAAGAAUUUUCCCCAGUUGUCUGUCUGAUAGAGACUAGGAGAAUAAAUACUCCUGUGUUAAGAUGUCAAAAUCAAUUUUUUACUUUUAAAGGAUUAAAGAUAUUGAAAUGGAGACCCAAAAGUGAACAAAGCAAAUUAAGAUGUAAUAAAUUAAUUUUUGAGUUACUUUUUAAAAGUAUUGUAUUUUCUUUCUAGAUUUCCAGUUAUUGAAUAUUUUUUCACUAAAUAUUUAACCCCAAGUUGGGACUAAAUGAAUAAACUUCAUACUUAAGGUGGGUGAACUUGUUUAAAAAAAAAAAGAAAGAAA